UACGAAGGGGGCUAGCGUUGCUCGGAAUUACUGGGCGUAAAGGGAGCGUAGGCGGACAUUUAAGUCAGGGGUGAAAUCCCAGAGCUCAACUCUGGAACUGCCUUUGAUACUGGGUGUCUUGAGUGUGAGAGAGGUAUGUGGAACUCCGAGUGUAGAGGUGAAAUUCGUAGAUAUUCGGAAGAAACACCAGUGGCGAAGGCGACAUACUGGCUCAUUACU
rnacentral:rRNA from 1 species